rnacentral:misc_RNA from 1 species
UGGGGAUUCGACUGGAUUGUCGUUUUCAACAUGGCGGCUAUGAGUUCAGCGUUCUUUGCCUAGAAACGAAUGGAAUUCCUCCAAAGGGCAGUUGUAGUCAUGGGAAGAUGUGAAUGCUGGCAGCGUAAUUUCCUCAUCAUUGGUGCUGUCAUCCUCAACUCAUUUGUGUUUAACGGCGCGUUGGGCCUCCAGUUCACUCAGGAGCCAGGCAACCACAUCGCCGUGGCAACUCAGCCCACUUGGUGGCACUGCGCCGCCCACAGCGACCAGCCGGUCACUUACACCUGGUCCCGGGGUGGCCAGCCCCUCAAUGGCCAGCCCAACUACAAUGUGCUGUCCAAUGGGACGCUCCAUAUCCUCAGUGUUGGCCAAUCGGACGUGGGCUCUUACACAUGCCAGGCCCGGACAUCGAGAGGGGAGAUCGUCACCAGUGGAGAGGCCCUGUUGACGUUAGCAACUCUCAGCAACAGUUUCAGCGCCAACCCCCAAUCUCAGAGCCUCAAUCUGGGCGGGUCUGCCUCCCUCCACUGCACCAUUGCCAGCCACCCCCAGGCCGCCAUCUCCUGGCUCUUCAAAGGCGGGGACAUUGCUGCGGGGACAGCAGUCACCGUGACGACGGUUGACUCUGCCACCAGGAGCACGUUGACCAUCGCCAGCCUGGAGCACCGCCACGGGGGGCAGUACCGUUGCUUGGGGACCAACCGCCUCUUGCCAAAUUCAGCGGUGUACAGCGAUACUGCAACACUGACGCUUAUUGGGAGACCGGGGUUUUUGGUCACACCGUCCCCGAAGACGGUGGCCGUGGGUGGCACAGCAAGUUUCCAGUGUGAGACCACGGGGAGCCCGUCUGCAUCCGUGCAGUGGCUGAACCCACAGAGCAACAUCAUUCAGAGCUCUGGCCGUUUCACUGCCACCUCUACAACCCUCCGCAUCACCAACCUCCAGACGGCAGAUGCUGGGUUCUACACCUGCCAGGCCACCAACGAGUGGGGCUCCAACACUGCCUCGGCCCUGUUGACUGUCGCUGAAGCCGUGCAGCCCCUGGUCUUCACGACAACCCCAGCGGAUAAGUCGGUGGCUGUUGGUAGUCGCGUGACGCUGCAGUGCAACGCAGUGGGCAGUCCAGAUCCUGUCAUCACUUGGAGUAAGCAAGGUGGCUUACUCCCUGCCAACAGAAUAGAAGAGCCUGCCCCUGGUUGGCUGAGAAUCACCGGCGUCAUAGCAACAGACUCUGGCAUCUAUGUCUGUACAGCCAGUAAUGGCUUGAGUAGCAUCAGCUCACAAGCACAACUCAUUGUACAAGUCCCGCCGAGUUUCACAGCCUCCCCUGUAGACACCACGGCUAGGGCAGGCGAGUCGGCCUUCUUCCAGUGCCAGGCAGAGGGUAACCCCGCCCCUACCAUCACCUGGACUACGCCCACCACCGGCACCCUGCAGGCUCCCAGCGGGCCCCACGGCGGUGUGGAAGUGACCGGAGAGGGCACGCUGAUGGUCAGCCCCGUGGAGAGGCGGCAUGCAGGGGCAUACGUCUGCACAGCCACCAACUCCAUCUCAGUCAUCAGCCAGAGUGCAACCCUUGUCGUACAGAGUCCACCAUUUUUCACGACUGUACCCACCGAUCAGCGUGUCAUUGAGGGCUCCUCCACCCAGCUCACCUGCCGUGCCGAAGCCAACCCGGCCCCAACCGUCACCUGGCUGUUCCACGGGGUGCCCCUCGUCAAUGACCCCAAGCACAGUGUCUACGGGAACGGGGACCUGACCGUGCGGAAUUUGGAAAAGGCCCAGGAAGGGACGUACAUGUGCCGGGCCGAGAACACGCUGGGAGUGCAGGAAGCGUCUGCCUUCGUAGUGGUGCUAAUUCCGCCAGACUUUGCCAUUUAUCCCACCGACUUGACAGUGCAACUUGGGGACUCUGUCCUGUUGGACUGCAUAGGGACUGGUGACCCAACACCUGUACUUCAGUGGUUGAAAGACGACCAGCCAUUGGUGUUAGAGUGGAACGUCGCGGUGCUGGCCAACUUAAGCCUGUCGCUGAGCAACAUCACCAAGGCCAACCUGGGCACCUACACCUGCCUGGCAACCAGCGAGGCGGGGACCAAUCGGAUCUCGGCUCAGGUCUGGACGCCUGACAUCCCGUUUUUCACGGUCCCACCCACCAACACGACCACCAACGAAUCCAUGUCCGCGACGAUCUCCUGCCAGGCCUCAGCCCGCAAGGUGCCGACCAUCCGCUGGUACCUUGCUGACGAUGUAGGUAACCGAGGGGCAGAGGUAGGAUUAGGAACCAACCUGCCGGGAUCGCGAGGGGCUGGGAGUUUCGUCGCAGCCGAUGGCAGUUUGAUGUUCUCAGACGUGUCCAGAUCAGACGAGGGACUGUACAUGUGCGAAGCAGACAACGGAAUCGGCAGUGUUGCUGAGACAGCCUUGCUCCUUGUCAACGUUCCCCCAGAGAUUGUGAGUAUCACCAGUCCAGUCACCGGCACGGAGACCGACAACCAUCUUCUUUUGCAGUGCAUUGCCGACGGUCGGCCCCACCCACAUCUCACCUGGUUCCUCCCCUCUGGCGGCCCUGUUCCCAACGACCCAUCCCGUUACAAUGUUCAGUCCUCCAGCGGGUACCUGGUCAUCUACUCCCCCUCUGUUAAGGAACACGACGGUGAUUUCUUGUGCCGGGCAGAGAAUUUCCUAGGGAACGACAGCACGGUCAUCACCGUCAUCGUGCAAGGAACUCCCGUCCUAACACGGCUUCUGGCGAAGAGAGCUGAAAGGUCGGUGACGUUGCAGUGCCUGACAAGAGGCUCGCCGACACCCACUCAUUCAUGGUCAAGGAACGGGCUGGACAUCAGUGCUGGUCUGGCCGGUCAUUUCAUCAGCAGUGACGGCAGCUUGGUCAUCCAGAAUCUAGAUCUGGCCCAGUCAGGGAUGUACGAAUGCAUCGUGGGUAAUACAUUUGGAGAGGUGUCUGCAACAUUUAAAGUUCCAGAAAAGCCUGGUACCCCGCAGGUCACGGCCACCACAUCUACUUCCAUAGAUCUGGCCUGGUCCUCCCCGGCCCCUAGCAGCAAUCUCACCGUCACCGGUUACCAGCUCCAGUACAUACGUUUUGGGGAGGCCAGCUAUCAGGACGUUGCCCUGGAGAUAGUAGGUUCCUUUGCCUCGGUGACAGAGUUGGCACCAUACACAGGGUACGCCUUCCGUGUGCGUGCCGUGAACGAGCUGGGCCCAGGAGCAUUCAGUUUGGUAACACCGUUUACGCUGACAGCCGAAGCAGCUCCCAGUGAACCGCAGAACCUGCUGGUGACCUCUUCAGGUGACCUUCUCAUUGUGACGUGGUCAGAGCCGGAGGUGCUCAACGGCAACCCCGAAAACAUUGUGUAUCAGAUCGCCUACCGACUACGAGAUGGGGAACCAGACCGUGAGACGGUUCUUACACAUGAACACAGUAACCUCCCAUACAGUGUCAUUUUGGUGAACGUAAUUCGUAAUACCGAGUAUCGUGUACGCAUCCGGGCGGGCAACACGCUACUUGGAGAGUGGAGUGACUAUGUGAUAGCUAACGCACAGACAUUGGUUGAAGCACCUGUGAAGUCAGUCACCGGUUUGAAAGCUGUAGCCCUGGGAUCCUCUGCCGUCCGACUUGAGUGGGAGUCCGUUGACGAUGCAUCGUUCAGCCACUACAGCAUUGCUUUCCGUCAGUUGGACAGCAACAUGUCAUACGAGACCGUCCAGGUCACCGAUAUCACCGCCAACAACUUCACCAUCAUGGGACUGAGAGAGAACACAGACUACGCGGUCAAGAUGUCCUACAGCAACGCCGGGGGCCAGGGACCCUACUCAGCGGAGGUCCAGGUGAAGACAGAGCUUGAGCCUCUGAGUCCCGGCGGGUACAGUCGAGGUGGCCUGUCCAGCGGCGUGGUAGCGGCCAUCGUUUGUGGUGCGGUGGCCAUCGUCUUGUUCAUUCUCAUCCUGGUGGCCAUCGUCUGGCAGCGCAAGCGUGACCCUGCAGGCUGGAUUGGCAGGAAACGCCUCAACCCAGAUGCAUUGUGGAUCCACAAGAGGUGAUGGUUGUCUGACUUUGCUUUGGGGACAAAUUGCAGCUACAUGUACCUGUUUCCACCUUUUCACUGCAGCGGCAACUCGGGCC